rnacentral:lncRNA from 1 species
AAAAGUUAAAGGAUUAAAAUUGCUCUUUUAUUUCUACCUUCUUUAUCUUCCUCCUAUGGUUUGUUUCUUUCUUAUUCACUCUACACGAAGAAAGAAAUGCAUAGAUUAUUCUCGUUUGUUUUUAUUGUUUACCAGACAUUUAUCAGCCAAGAAAACCUGAAGAUACGAAGAAAAUCACAUAGAAAGUGUUAAUUAUUAAUAUUAUUUUUGAUGUUAUAAACUUAUUUAAUAAUAAUAAUAAUUAGUUAUAAUAAUAAUAAAUAUAAUUAUUUAUAAUAAAAGAUAAUUUAUAUAAUAACAGCAUUAUGAAAUAUUUUUAUAUAUAUUUAUAAAAUUCUAAUUUGGUUUGAUUUUAUGAAAAUAUUUUUAUAUAUAUUUAUAAAAUUUUAAUUAACUAAAGUUUAUAAAAAAAAGUCACAUAUUUUAUUAUUUAAAUAUUUUUUAAGAAAAAGAUAAAUUUAUAAACUUCUAUUUUACACAUUUAAACAAAAUAAAAUUCUCUUUACAACCAUCAUAUCACUCACAAACUUCAAUAAACUUUCUUCACAAAUUCACUUUGAUAUACCAUAAUCCAAACAACCUCACUUUCUUUACACUUUCCUCUAAAAUCACUCCAAAUUCACUUUCUCAAAUCUUCUUCUCAAUCCAAUGGUUAUGCAAUAAAGGAGGGUAUUAUAAUAUUUUUGCUUAUAGUAUGGGUUGUAGUUAGUAAUCAUGGGGUGCAGUAUAAAAAGCCCUAUUUAAUAGCAAAAUUCUCUUCUCACCAGUCCAGACCAAAUCUCAAUGUUUAUUUGGUAUACUACAGGCCCAUAGAAAAACACAACCCUCCACUUUCAGUAUCUAUGAAAAACAGUUCAGUAUCAAAUUUAAGUCUACACCAAAGCUUCUUGGCAGUCACCCUAAGAAGAGAUUGAAAAGUGGCGGAAAAUUUUGAAUGAUUUUUUCAUAUCCUAAAAAGGAAGAAAAUAGUCAUAUGAGGUUAUAUACCUAAUGAUGAUGAUUAUAAUAAUAAAAGCUAAUGUAACUAAAUGAAAAUAUAAAACACAGAAUGGGUAAGAUCUGGUAAUUUAAUGUAAAGAAGUGACAAAGAGAAGGGAAGGAAGGAAGGAAGAAAAAAGGGUAAACCCUAGAAACUGAAUAGCCUUACACAGCAUAGGAGGAGUGAUGAUCCAAAAUAUGCUUUGAAGAAGUAGGGUCCAAAGGAAGGAUCCAAAAGGUACAAAAGAGAAUAUCCAAUUUUCCACAAUUAUGAUCACAGAUUGAAAGCAAUUUCCCUGUGCCAGGCGUUUCUCAAUCUCAACUUGUACAACAAAACAGUUUUCAUUACGCUCUUAACACUCUGGAUUUUAUCACCAUAUCACCAUUCCUCAAUAAUUUGCACACGAAUCUUCUAGAACUACCUAUCGUAAUCAAUUUCCAUACCAUAUAAUAAUUUACUGGGUUUAUCUUCAAAAUAUGCGAGAACUCUGACACAUUCAAGAUUACCACUACCGCUAAUAGUGUGCACAUAAAGUUGCCUUUUCUUACACGAACCAUAUACCAAAACAACAUAUUUCUUUGUUUUUUCAUUUGUCAAACGUUGACUACAGUGAUCUCUUGAAUCAUCUUUGAAUUGAAUUUGUAUAAGCCUAAUCCAAUCCAACUCAGGUCAUUUUCACACAUGAAUUUACACUCCAAAGUUAAUCCAAACGAACCAUUCAUAAUCAAAAUGGGAAUUGAAUUGUGUAAGAAUUGUCUCAAAAAUUGCAUUGAAGGCGUAGUGACAUGUUUUGAUUUUGAUGUGAUCAAUAAAAACAAGUAACUAGCAUGAAUGAAUGGAAUCAUUCUGAGUAGAUAAGGGUUACAUACCCAAAAAAACUCAAGAACCUUUCAAGGGGGAAUGCACCAUGUCCACACGUAUUCUUCAAAAUCCUCACUACCCACUCAAUUUGCA